AGAAGUUUUGACCUCCACUUGCUAAAUAAUAUUUUCUCAGCAUUCUCGCGCGAGAAAAUUGUAGUACUUGCCUGAGAAAAUGGCAGGAACGAAGGAAUUCGUGGAAGCGGACAAUGCAGAAGCCAUCAUAACCAGAAUCGAACACAAAUCUAGGAAAAUCGAGAGCUUACUCAAACAGCAUAAACCUAUCGAAGCUCUCAAAACUGCUCUCGAAGGUUCGCCUCCCAAUACAAGAGACGAGCGAUGCAAGUCUGCUAAUUGGAUAGUGGUGCAUAGAGCUAUGAUGGCUAUAAAAGAUGUGGAUUCAUUGUUCUCUUCUUUGGAUCCUGAGUACUAUGAUAUCCUCAUGAAGUACUUGUAUAGAGGAUUGUCUACUGGAGAUCGUCCCACAUGCGACCAAUGCCUGAGGAUUCAUGAAAAGCUGACAGAGAGAGCUGGUUUAGGCUGCAUACUGCGUUCCCUUGCAGAUACUGUGAAUACAGUUUGAUUUCUUCUAUCCUUGCAUCCUAAGAGAAGAUCUCUAGAUAAGAAAUUAAUCAAUGAAAGCAAUAGGAAAUUGAAGACAAGUAGAUGGGCAUCCCCAUGGUGUAUUUUGAUGCAUUUGGAAAGAAAGGAAGAGACCUUUUGAUUAAAGUCCAUGAACCAAAAUUCUUUUCCUGAGCACUGUGAUAUACUCGUCGGGGUCCCCAUCAAGAGCAACCACUUGCAGUUCUAAUUUUUAGUACGAUCAACACUGGAGGUUUGAGUCGCCAUGAAAGCUUCAAAUGGCUGGACGUUAUAAAUAAAGAAAUUGUGAGAUGGAAAUGUAGAGAAAUUAUCUCACCUCCAUGUCUUGGGCAAAUCAUCUGUUGUGUGGUUAUGAAUGUGGAUAAUGUAUCUAUCUUUAUGUUAUUGCAUUGAAGUGACAUCAAAGGGGUAGGAUGCUUCAUUUUCUAUGUCGGCAGACUUCCACCUAAGACUCAAAUAUUCUAGCAAUCAUGCAUUGGUCUAUGA